CCUACGGGAGGCAGCAGUGAGGAAUAUUGGUCAAUGGACGCAAGUCUGAACCAGCCAAGUAGCGUGCAGGAUGACGGCCCUCCGGGUUGUAAACUGCUUUUAGUUGGGAAUAAAAGGGGGCUCGUGAGCCCCGUAUUGUAUGUACCAUCAGAAAAAGGACCGGCUAAUUCCGUGCCAGCAGCCGCGGUCAUACGUAGGAUCCGAGCAUUAUCCGGAGUGACUGGGUGUAAAGAGUUGCGUAGGUGGCAUAAUAAGUAGCUAGUGAAAUCUGGUGGCUCAACCAUUCAGACUAUUAGCUAAACUGUUAAGCUCGAGACCGUUAGGGGUAACUGGAAUUUCUAGUGUAGGAGUGAAAUCCGUAGAUAUUAGAAAGAACACCGAUAGCGUAGGCAGGUUACUGGGACGGUUCUGACACUAAGGCACGAAAGCGUAGGGAGCAAACGGGAUUAGAUACCCCUGUAGUC
rnacentral:rRNA from 1 species